rnacentral:rRNA from 1 species
AACGAACGCUGGCGGCAGGCUUAACACAUGCAAGUCGAACGCACCUUUCGGGGUGAGUGGCAGACGGGUGAGUAACGCGUGGGAAUCUACCCUUCUCUACGGGAUAUCUCCGUGAAACUGGAAUUAAUACCGUAUACGUCCUGAGGGAGAAAGAUUUAUCGGGGAAGGAUGAGCCCGCGUUGGAUUAGCUAGUUGGUGGGGUAAAGGCCUACCAAGGGGACGAUCCAUAGCUGGUCUAAGAGGAUGAUCAGCAACAUUGGGACUGAGACACGGCCCAAACUCCUACGGGAGGCAGCAGUGGAGAAUAUUGGACAAUGGGCGCAAGCCUGAUCCAGCCAUGCCGCGUGAGUGAUGAAGGCCCUAGUGUUGUAAAGCUCUUUCAGAGGGGACGAUAAUGACGGUACCCACAGAAGAAGCCCCGGCUAACUUCGUG